GACGAACGCUGGCGGCGCGCCUAACACAUGCAAGUCGAACGGAGCUGAGAGGAGCUUGCUUUUCUCAGCUUAGUGGCGAACGGGUGAGUAACGCGUGAGUAACCUGCCCUGGAGUGGGGGACAACAGUUGGAAACGACUGCUAAUACCGCAUAAGCCCACGGUGCUGCAUGGCACAGCGGGAAAAGGAUUUAUUCGCUCUAGGAUGGACUCGCGUCCAAUUAGCUAGUUGGUGAGGUAACGGCCCACCAAGGCGACGAUUGGUAGCCGGACUGAGAGGUUGAACGGCCACAUUGGGACUGAGACACGGCCCAGACUCCUACGGGAGGCAGCAGUGGGGGAUAUUGCACAAUGGGGGAAACCCUGAUGCAGCGACGCCGCGUGGAGGAAGAAGGUUUUCGGAUUGUAAACUCCUGUCGUUAGGGACGAUAAUGACGGUAC
rnacentral:rRNA from 1 species